rnacentral:rRNA from 1 species
AUUGAACGCUGGCGGCAGGCCUAACACAUGCAAGUCGAGCGGAUGAAGGGAGCUUGCUCCUGGAUUCAGCGGCGGACGGGUGAGUAAUGCCUAGGAAUCUGCCUGGUAGGGGGGGAUAACGUCCGGAAACGGGCGCUAAUACCGCAUACGUCCUGAGGGAGAAGGUGGGGGGGCUUCGGACCUCACGCUCUCAGAUGAGCCUAGGUCGGAUUAGCUAGUUGGUGGGGUAAAGGCCUACCAAGGCGACGAUUCGUAACUGGUCUGAGAGGAUGAUCAUUCACACUGGAACUGAGACACGGUCCAGACUCCUACGGGAGGCAGCAGUGGGGAAUAUUGGACAAUGGGCGAAAGCCUUAUCCAGCCAUGCCGCGUGUGUGAAGAAGGUCUUCGGAUUGUAAAGCACUUUAAGUUGGGAGGAAGGGCAGUAAGUUAAUACCUUGCUGUUUUGACGUUACCAACAGAAUAAGCACCGGCUAACUUCGUG